AGAAGAUGAACGCGGAAUGAGCAUUGUCUCUGCCUCCAGAACGCGAGACCACAGUGCAUACACUACAGACGCGGUGCACGCCCGAAUUUCAGAUAUGAACGUGCCGUCCCUAAUGGCGAGUGAUGUGAUCUACCCUGCUGAUCUUACGACGGGCUGGGCACUGUUCAUUCUCCACAUUCACAGGCAUUUGAACUCUACAGUACUCCAGGAGUUCAACAGGAAGUGAUGCGCCAGAAUUCAGCCACCGGAGUUCAGCUCGGCGUUCUGUAUAAUUUUUUAAUUUGUGCUUGCUGAUGAAAUCAAGUGGUCGGUGGGUAGUAGGUAAUAGAAAACAACGUGAUAUUGGGACAGUGAGAGUCCAUGGAUAGCAGAAAAUUGAUGGGUACCUUUUGAAGGUUCUGAGGGUGGAAACACCAGUGCUCCCUUCGCAUUGGAUUGCGUGGCCAAAAUUUCAAACCUGUGCAUUAACAAGGCGGGGACCUCGCUGUCACGCGGAACUGUGUGUUGGAUGAGAGGAGCUUCCACCCGGCCGAGCAGGUUUUUAAUAAUUUGCCCCGUCCCUGUUGUGAUGUUCCACUCAUAUAAAUGCU